rnacentral:rRNA from 1 species
GAUGAACGCUAGCGGCAGGCUUAACACAUGCAAGUCGAGGGGUAUAGAAAGCUUGCUUUCUAGAGACCGGCAAACGGGUGCGGAACACGUACACAACCUACCUUUAUCAGGGGGAUAGCCUCCGGAAACGGAGAUUAAUACCCCAUAGUAUUAUGGAGUGGCAUCAUUUUAUAAUUAAAGAAUUUCGGAUAGAGAUGGGUGUGCGUAAGAUUAGCUAGUUGGUGAGGUAAAGGCUCACCAAGGCAACGAUCUUUAGCUGAUGUGAGAGCAUGCUCAGCCACACGGGCACUGAGACACGGGCCCGACUCCUACGGGAGGCAGCAGUGAGGAAUAUUGGUCAAUGGACGGAAGUCUGAACCAGCCAUGCCGCGUGAAGGAUGAAGGCGUUCUGCGUUGUAAACUUCUUUUAUUUAGGAAGAAACCACUUUUUUUUAAGAGUGUUGACGGUAUUAAAUGAAUAAGCACCGGCUAACUCCGUGCCAGCAGCCGCAGUAACAC